rnacentral:rRNA from 1 species
GAUGAACGCUGGCGGCGUGCCUAAUACAUGCAAGUCGAGCGAACGGACGAGAAUCUUGCUUCUCUGAUGUUAGCGGCGGACGGGUAAGUAACACGUGGAUAACCUACCUAUAAGACUGGGAUAACUUCGGGAAACCGGAGCUAAUACCGGAUAAUAUUUUGAACCGCAUGGUUCAAUAGUGAAAGACGGUCUUUCUGUCACUUAUAGAUGGAUCCGCGCUGCAUUAGAUAGUUGGUAAGGUAACGGCUUACCAAGGCAACGAUGCAUAGCCGACCUGAGAGGGUGAUCGGCCACACUGGAACUGAGACACGGUCCAGACUCCUACGGGAGGCAGCAGUAGGGAAUCUGCCGCAAUGGGCGAAAGCAUGACGGAGCAACGCCGCGUGAGUGAUGAAGAUCUUCGGAUCGUAAAACUCUGUUAUUAGGGAAGAACAUAUGUGUAAGUAACUGUGCAGAUCUUGACGGUACCUAAUAAGAAAGCCACGGCUAACUACGUG